AGGAUGAACGCUGGCGGCGUGCUUAACACAUGCAAGUCGAACGAUGAAGGAGAGCUUGCUCUUUGGAUUAGUGGCGAACGGGUGAGUAACACGUGAGCAACCUGCCCCGGACUCUGGGAUAAGCGCUGGAAACGGCGUCUAAUACCGGAUAUGAGCUCCCACCGCAUGGUGAGGGGUUGGAAAGAUUUUUUGGUCUGGGAUGGGCUCGCGGCCUAUCAGCUUGUUGGUGAGGUAAUGGCUCACCAAGGCGUCGACGGGUAGCCGGCCUGAGAGGGUGACCGGCCACACUGGGACUGAGACACGGCCCAGACUCCUACGGGAGGCAGCAGUGGGGAAUAUUGCACAAUGGGCGGAAGCCUGAUGCAGCAACGCCGCGUGAGGGAUGACGGCCUUCGGGUUGUAAACCUCUUUUAGCAAGGAAGAAGCGAAAGUGACGGUACUUGCAGAAAAAGCGCCGGCUAACUACGUGCCAGCAGCCGCGGUAAUACGUAGGGCGCAAGCGUUAUCCGGAAUUAUUGGGCGUAAAGAGCUCGUAGGCGGUUUGUCGCGUCUGCUGUGAAAACCCGAGGCUCAACCUCGGGCCUGCAGUGGGUACGGGCAGACUAGAGUGCGGUAGGGGAGAUUGGAAUUCCUGGUGUAGCGGUGGAAUGCGCAGAUAUCAGGAGGAACACCGAUGGCGAAGGCAGAUCUCUGGGCCGUAACUGACGCUGAGGAGCGAAAGGGUGGGGAGCAAACAGGCUUAGAUACCCUGGUAGUCCACCCCG
rnacentral:rRNA from 1 species